GACGAACGCUGGCGGCGUGCUUAACACAUGCAAGUCGAACGGAAAGGCCCUGCUUUUGUGGGGUGCUCGAGUGGCGAACGGGUGAGUAACACGUGAGUAACCUGCCCUUGACUUUGGGAUAACUUCAGGAAACUGGGGCUAAUACCGGAUAGGAGCUCCUGCUGCAUGGUGGGGGUUGGAAAGUUUCGGCGGUUGGGGAUGGACUCGCGGCUUAUCAGCUUGUUGGUGGGGUAGUGGCUUACCAAGGCUUUGACGGGUAGCCGGCCUGAGAGCGUGACCGGCCACAUUGGGACUGAGAUACGGCCCAGACUCCUACGGGAGGCAGCAGUGGGGAAUAUUGCACAAUGGGCGGAAGCCUGAUGCAGCAACGCCGCGUGCGGGAUGACGGCCUUCGGGUUGUAAACCGCUUUCGCCUGUGACGAAGCGUGAGUGACGGUAAUGGGUAAAGAAGCACCGGCUAACUACGUG
rnacentral:rRNA from 1 species